UCUGGUAUUGACUGUAAUAG
rnacentral:miRNA from 1 species